rnacentral:rRNA from 1 species
GGCGGCGGGCCUAACACAUGCAAGUCGAACGGUAACAGGCCCGCAAGGGUGCUGACGAGUGGCGGACGGGUGAGGAAUACAUCGGAAUCUGCCCGGUUGUGGGGGAUAACGUAGGGAAACUUACGCUAAUACCGCAUACGACCGAAAGGUGAAAGCGUGGGAUCCGCAAGGACCUCGCGCAGCCGGAUGAGCCGAUGUCGGAUUAGCUAGUUGGCGGGGUAAAGGCCCACCAAGGCGACGAUCCGUAGCUGGUCUGAGAGGAUGAUCAGCCACACUGGGACUGAGACACGGCCCAGACUCCUACGGGAGGCAGCAGUGGGGAAUAUUGGACAAUGGGGGCAACCCUGAUCCANCAAUGCCGCGUGUGUGAAGAAGGCCUUCGGGUUGUNAAGCACUUUUAUCCGGAACGAAACGCGCAGGGUGAAUAGCCUUGCNAACUGACGGUACCGGA